GGAGUGUAGCUCAGAGGAGAGCUCAUGCUUAGCACACACAAGGCCCUGGGUUCAAUCCCCAGCAUCA
rnacentral:tRNA from 1 species